rnacentral:rRNA from 1 species
GCUGGCGGUAUGCCUUACACAUGCAAGUCGUACGAGAGUUUUUAACUCUAGUGGCGGACGGGUGAGUAACACGUAAGAAUUUGCCUUUAGGAGGGGGACAACAACUGGAAACGGUUGCUAAUACCCCAUAUGCUUUCGAGUGAAAUGGAUUUCCGCCUAAAGAGAAGCUUGCGGCUGAUUAGCUUGUUGGUGAGGUAAUGGCUCACCAAGGCGACGAUCAGUAUCUGGUUUGAGAGGACGAUCAGACACACUGGAACUGAGACACGGUCCAGACUCCUACGGGAGGCAGCAGUGGGGAAUUUUCCGCAAUGGGCGAAAGCCUGACGGAGCAAUACCGCGUGAGGGAUGACGGCCUAUGGGUUGUAAACCUCUUUUUUCAGGGAGGAAUCAAUGACGUGUACCUGAAGAAUAAGCAUCGGCUAACUCCGUGCCAGCAGCCGCGGUAAGACGGAGGAUGCAAGUGUUAUCCGGAAUCACUGGGCGUAAAGCGUCUGUAGGUGGUCAAAUAAGUCAACUGUUAAAUCUUGAGGCUCAACCUCAAAAUCGCAGUCGAAACUAUUCGACUAGAGUAUAGUAGGGGUAAAGGGAAUUUCCAGUGGAGCGGUGAAAUGCGUAGAGAUUGGAAGGAACACCGAUGGCGAAGGCACUUUACUGGGCUAUUACUAACACUCAGAGACGAAAGCUAGGGUAGCAAAUGGGAUUAGAUACCCCCAGUAGUCCUAG